rnacentral:snoRNA from 1 species
UUCAAAUGAUGUUAGAAAUAAUAUUUGCUACUUCAGACGCCUACGGGUGAAUGAGACAUUAAAUUAUCACCAAGAUCUCUGAUGAU